ensembl:lncRNA
GUAGUAUCAUUAUCAGUAGUAUUAUCAGUAGUAGUAUCAGUAGUAGUAUCAGUAGUAUUAUCAGUAGUAGUAUCAGUAGUAUUAUCAGUAGUAGUAUCAGUAGUAGUAUCAGUAUAGGUAUCAGUAGUAUUAUCAGUAGUAGUAUCAGUAGUAUUAUACAGAGUAUUAUCAGUAGUAUUAUCAGUAGUAUUAUCAGUAGUAGUAUCAGUAGUAUUAUCAGUAGUAUUAUCAGUAGUAGUAUCAGUAGUAGUAUCAGUAGUAGUAUCAGUAGUAUUAUUCAUAGUAGUAUCAGUAGUAUUAUCAGUAGUAGUAUCAGUAGUAGUAUCAGUAGUAUAGUACGUCUAGUAGUGGUAACUAGUGCUACGGUAAGUAUGAGCAGUAGCACAAAGGACACGUUAUUGUUCAUAAACACGUCCUGCAUAUAAACAGAUCCACUCGCGGUGUGUGUCAGACGUCUGCACCGAGUUCCACUCCACACCGACCCUUAACUUCACACCUUCAGAUGUUUCACAAACCACCGCCUGAGCACCAUCAGUGUUAUUAAAACAUCCUGAGCUUCACAUGUUCCAGCUAAACCAGUGAUGCUAAAGAAAAACAAACACGUGUGCGAGUGUGUGUGUGUGUGUGUGUGUGUGUGUGUGAGUGUGUGUGUGUGCGUCGAGAACGCGUGCAGCGUGUAAAUAUCAAACCCUGAGGUGAGUUACGGAGGUCAGAGCGAAACUCGGAUUUAAACGCCUCACAACAAAAUCCGUUUCGGGCGCGUGAGAAGAGGCUACAGCUAACAUCACGUAGCUUCAACCUCGUCACGUUUUUGUGCUACAUUCGGCCGUAAAAAACACGUCCUGGGCGACUGAACACGUGUAAACCGUGUAAAAUUUCAUUUACAGUCAAACAUUUAUGAAAAACCGCUUGAAGCUGGAUCCUCGAGUCGCAACGAAGAACAACAACAGAAGCAGCUGGACACGUUUCCGUGGCAAUAACUAAACCUGCACGUGUAGCUACAGCCGCGCUCACGUUUGUUUAACUGCGAAAACGCGAAGAAAUCAGGAGAUCUGUAAAGCCCCGCAGGUUCUCGUGUUGAACUCCAACACAGCCUGGAGCUCUGAGGAAGCGCGGCGUAGCGACCUGAAGUUCUCCCGAGGUGCUCGAACGAAGGACGCGUCUCAACGCGAGCUUCACACAACCCGCUGAACACUAAAAUCUGACCUCCACGUCAUCACCGCUCAAAAAGAGAAGAACAAAGAGAACCGUAUGAUUUCGUUUUAAACCUGUUCUGAACUUUCCAGAUUUACAACCUUCAGCUUUCUUCAUCAGCCUGUGCGGUCAAACCUGAUCGGCACCGCUCUUACAAAGUAACGCCUCCAGCCUGACGCCGUCGGAGAACCCUUUCACCCUCACGGUCUUUACAGAACCACCCAUUCACUCACUAGUGCCUCAAAGAGCCCAGAAACGGUUCUUCACAGCAGUGCCACAAGGUUCUCAAAGAACCUUCUUCUCGUCAAGAUCCGUCUUCCCCUUGUACAGGGUUCUCGAGUUGAGCUGGACGCUUCUCUGGAGAUUACAGGAGUUCUUUAUGUUUUGCUAAAGGUUCUUCAGAGCAGUGUUUGGUUCUUCGAGGUCUCAUCCCUUCUUAACAGCUUGAAGUGAACCCUGCACUAUACGGUUCUUUGAGGGACUGGAUGUGUGAGAAGGUUCUCCUUGCAGCACUCUAAUAACUGAGAACUUGUUAGAGAACUCGACACUGCUGUGAAGAACCAUUUUCAAGAUAAACGGUUCUGUAAAGAGCGUACGAGUUCAAGCGUCCUCCUAUGGCUGAAAAAAGUGUUUUCGGUUCUGACUGCGAGCUCCAUUUUUAAGCGUGAACCUUUUCCAGUCCCACAAAGAACCUUAUACAGCAGGGUUCACUUCAACCCGCUGAGAAGGGACGGGACCUUGAAGAACCUUUAACGGAACAUAAAGAACUUCUUUAAUCUCCACAGAAGCG